UCCGACUAGUUCCGGGUUCGAGUCCCGGGCACCCA
rnacentral:tRNA from 1 species